rnacentral:tRNA from 1 species
ACCUUGGUGGUUUAGUGGUAGAAUUUUUACCUUCCAUGCAGAAGACAUAGGUUCAAGUCCCAGCGAGUGUA